AUGGGGGCCGCGCCGGGCUCGGGAUGGGAGGAGGGAGAGUUCGAGUUCAAGCUCGUGUUUGAGGAGGAUCCGCCGCGCCAGAGCCGCUGCGGCCCAGAACACACCGACAGCGGCCAGACGCGCCGUGAGCCAGCCGAUACCCACUUGACUUCCGCACAGGCUGGCCAACCCGUGGGUAUCCCUCCGUCAGCCGGUCGCAGGGCUGGGAUGCAUUCCCCACCCCCCAGACGGGCCUUCGUCAGGGAGUUCAGUGGGACUUUUGAGAGCCUGCCAGCAAGAUCAAUACAGGUGGGAGGCACAUUUGACUAAAUUGUAGAUUUCUAGAACAUCCUGAUACAAAGAUCAUGUUACACAUUGUGAUUAAAUCUGGUAAAACACAAUUUUUCUCAGUCGGAUUUACACUUUUCUCCAGUGCGGUGUACUUGUUCUCAAAACAAUUAGCACAGCCAUCCAAAUACAAAAUUAUCUUAACCAAACAAUUUUUUCUAGUAUUGCAUUUAUUAAAAGUAAAUAUUAACAUCAAAUCUAUAGGUGUGUUCUCUAUUGAUUUUAUAACACAUUCAGAAGUAGAUGGACAAAUAUGCUAAUGAAAAUUCAACAGGGAGUUUUGUUUUAUAUAUUUUGUGUAUAUCUAAACAAAAUAAAAAUUGUUAUCCAACACCUGCUGUCACCCAUGAGAAAAAACCAAUUGCCCCUUUAAACUUCAAAGCUGUCCAUGCCACCUUUAGCAGCAAGAAUAGCACCUUUAGUGCUCCUGUAGCUCAAGUGGUAGAGCAUUGCGUUACCAAGCGCAAGGUUGGGGGUUCGAUUCCCCGGGAACACAUGAUAGGUAAAAAUUGAUAGCCUGAAUGCACUGUAAAUCGCUUUGGAUAAAAGCGACUGCUAAAUGCAUAAUUUAAAUUUAAGAAACUUUUCUGAAAACUAAAGAUCAGUCUUUUACAGCACAGUGGUGGAUAUAUAUACAAUAUAUAACUUUUUUAGCUGGUGAAAAUACAAGUGUUCUAAUAAUUUUGGCCACCACUAUAUAUACACGUUUGUGUGUGUGUGUGUGUGUGUGUGUGUGUGUGUGUGUGCUUGCUGUAUAUAUGAAUAAUCCAGAAUUAUUGAUCUUGCCUUUCAUUUGCAUCUGGAAGAGAAUUUCAUUGCGUUUUAUCUAGACUACAUAUUGGCUGCGCUUGCAUCUUAGGAGAAAAAAUGUAAGAAGUUUGAAUCCAUACUUGACAAGCUCCUGUCUCAGCAUCUACAAAGGCCUCUUCCUUUGUGGCUGGUGGUGUUGUUCUGGACCACCAUGUCAACAAUGAUCCUGUUCCAUUCAGAAUAAUCUUGAUUGUCCAUCUAAAUGAUCUCGAACUUAAAUUCUGAAAAAUGUUUGGACAUUUACAGUCAAUAACAGAAGUUGUCCCAGAAGGACUAAAAAUCUGUACUAUCAACAAUUAUAGUAAACCUCCUCUCUAGUCAUCUCUUCUCCUCUUUUCACACAUCCUCCUCUCUGCUCAUCUCUUUUUACCUGUUACACUUUUCAUCUUCUCUCUCAUUACACCCCUUUCUCUACCCAGUCCACCGCCUUAUAGACGUACACCUCUUUCUUUACCUCCCCCCCAUUUUUAUUUUAUUUGUACUUUUUUUUUUUGCAUAUUCAUUCUUGCGCUUUGUAUACUUUCCCUUUUAUUAUUACUCUGAAGCAAGUGUGAUAAAUGUGUAAACGAUUAGGAAAACUGCAUUUCUUGUGUCGAGUGUAUGAUUAACCGAAUAACGUCAGUUAUAUACACCAUGUUCAUUUGAUAGAAUGACAAAUUACAGAGUUUUUUUUUUUUUUGUUACGUUUGGACAAAUGGUGCAUAAAAGUUUGUGAUUUGUGUAAAAUGUUUUUUUUUUAGAUAUUUUAAACUAUUGGUUGGUUGUAUUAACUAUUGUGAAAACGUUUCAGAGUUUUGUGCACACUGUUUUGAGAAAAUAAUUAGCAUGAUUUGUAAUUUUUAUGAAAUGAAUGAAAACGUUCAAUCUGUUUAGGACAGUUAUAAAGUGUUCAGGUCACUGUGUUAACUGUUUUGAGAACAGUGACCUGAGUUUGGAGAAAUGUGUCAAAUCAGUUGAGAAAAUCCAGAGGUCUGGUUUUAAUUUCAGGAGUUCGUUUUUGUUGCCCAGUAAUGUUUAUUGUGAACAGAAUCGGUUGCCAUGAGCUGUUGUGCAUAUUUUGUUUUGGCAAAUAAGGGCUGCACAUAAACGUUAGAGUUCAAUUAAAUUUAAGUAUCCUUUAGCAUUUAAAGUCAACCAAAAUCAAACCAAAAGUGAGCAUAUUUAUUUAAUAUGUGUUUUUGGCCAUAUAGUGCAUCAUUCAUCUGUAAAUUAUUCCAAAGAAAAACGUGAUUGUCUUUGUAAUCUCAUUGUGAAAGUUAAGAUCAAGUCCUUUCUCUUUGAAUGUCUUGUUUCACUCAAAAAUACAGAAGUAAAAAGGGUCUCGAAUAGAGUGUGUAAUGAUUACAAAAUAUAAUGAC
ensembl:lncRNA